rnacentral:rRNA from 1 species
CCUACGGGCGGCUGCAGUGGGGAAUAUUGCGCAAUGGGCGAAAGCCUGACGCAGCGACGCCGCGUGAGGGAUGAAGGUCCUCGGAUCGUAAACCUCUGUCAGCAGGGAAGAACGGUCACGGAGCUAAUCAGCAGUGAAUUGACGGUACCUGCAAAGGAAGCACCGGAUAACGCCGGGCCAGCAGCCGCGGUAAUACGGAGGGUGCGAGCGUUAAUCGGAAUUACUGGGCGUAAAGCGCUCGUAGGCGGUAUGUCAAGUCAAGGGUGAAAUCCCCGCGCUUAACGUGGGAACUGCCUUUGAAACUGGCAAGCUGGAGUGUGGGAGAGGUUAGUGGAAUUCCAGGUGUAGGAGUGAAAUCCGUAGAUAUCUGGAGGAACAUCAGUGGCGAAGGCGACUAUCUGGAACAUAACUGACGCUGAGGAGCGAAAGCGUGGGUAGCAAACAGGAUUAGAUACCCCAGUAGUC